UACGGGGGAGCAAGCGUUGUUCGGAUUUACUGGGCGUAAAGGGCGCGUAGGCGGCCAGCACAGUCAGUUGUGAAAUCUACCGAGCUUAACUCGGAAAGGUCAACUGAUACUGUGCGGCUAGAGUGGCAAGAAGGGGGCAACUGGAAUUCUUGGAUGUAGCGGUGAAAUGCGUAGAUAUCAAGAGGAACACCUGCGGCGAAGGCGGGUUGCUGGGCUGACACUGACG
rnacentral:rRNA from 1 species